GAACAUGAGAGUUUGAUCCUGGCUCAGAACGAACGCUGGCGGCAUGCCUAACACAUGCAAGUCGAACGUGAAGUUUUCCUUCGGGGAAAUGGAAAGUGGCGCACGGGUGAGUAACGCGUAGAUAACCUGCCCUCAAAUCUGGGAUAACUCUCCGAAAGGAGAGCUAAUACCGGAUAAAACCGAAGAUUGAGUGAUUUUUGGUUGAAAGAUUUAUUGUUUGGGGAUGGGUCUGCGUCCCAUUAGCUAGUUGGUGGGGUAAAGGCCUACCAAGGCGACGAUGGGUAGCGGGUCUGAGAGGAUGAUCCGCCACACUGGCACUGAGACACGGGCCAGACUCCUACGG
rnacentral:rRNA from 1 species